UCCUACGGGAGGCAGCAGUGGGGAAUAUUGCACAAUGGGGGAAACCCUGAUGCAGCCAUGCCGCGUGUGUGAAGAAGGCCUUCGGGUUGUAAAGCACUUUCAGUUGUGAGGAAAAGUUAGUAGUUAAUACCUGCUAGCCGUGACGUUAACAACAGAAGAAGCACCGGCUAACUCCGUGCCAGCAGCCGCGGUAAUACGGAGGGUGCGAGCGUUAAUCGGAAUUACUGGGCGUAAAGCGCACGCAGGCGGUUUGUUAAGCUAGAUGUGAAAGCCCCGGGCUCAACCUGGGAUGGUCAUUUAGAACUGGCAGACUAGAGUCCUGGAGAGGGGAGUGGAAUUCCAGGUGUAGCGGUGAAAUGCGUAGAUAUCUGGAGGAACAUCAGUGGCGAAGGCGACUCCCUGGCCAAAGACUGACGCUCAUGUGCGAAAGUGUGGGUAGCGAACAGGAUUAGAUACCCUGGUAGUCCACACCGUAAACGCUGUCUACUAGCUGUGUGUGCCUUUAAGGCGUGCGUAGCGAAGCUAACGCGCUAAGUAGACCGCCUGGGGAGUACGGCCGCAAGGUUAAAACUCAAAUGAAUUGACGG
rnacentral:rRNA from 1 species